rnacentral:lncRNA from 1 species
AAGGUACCCAAUGAUGAAGCAGUGCAUCUUGAAUCCCAUCGAGAGGGGGAAAUAAAAGCACAAAGUAUUACCCAAAAUGACCUGGUUACAACACAAUAGCAAAGAGGAACGUUUGCAAAGAGCAAUGUCGCAUUGUCCUGCAGGCAUAAAACAUUAAAGGACCAUUUAAGAAGAGGUUGUGAGCGUAAAUACAUGGUAUUACAAGCCAAACUUUUGAGAGCUGGGUGUGCUGGCACAUGCCUAUAAU